rnacentral:tRNA from 1 species
GGGGCAGUGGCGGAAUGGCAGACGCAGCGGACUUAAAAUCCGUCGGGAUAAAACCCGUGUGGGUUCGACUCCCACCUGCCCCA